AUGGCUUCCAACGGGAGCGCCGGCGAGGUCAGGGACGUCCACAGCAGCGAGACCACCAAGACCCUCCUCAAGAGCGACGACCUCUACGACUACAUGCUGAAGACGAUGGUGUACCCGCGGGAGAACGAGUUCAUGCGCGAGCUCCGGCAAAUCACCAGCGAGCACAUCUUCGGGUUCAUGUCGUCGCCGCCGGAUGAGGGGCUGCUGCUGUCGCUGCUGCUCAAGGUGAUGGGCGCCAAGAGGACCAUCGAGGUGGGGGUCUACACCGGCUGCUCCGUCCUCGCCACCGCGCUCGCCAUCCCGGACGACGGCAGGAUCGUCGCCAUCGACGUCAGCAGGGAGUACUUCGACCUCGGCCUCCCGGUCAUCAAGAAGGCCGGCGUCGCGCACAAGGUCGACUUCCGCGAGGGCCCCGCCGGCCCCAUCCUCGACAAGCUCAUCGCCGACGAGGAAGCGGGGAGCUUCGACUUCGCCUUCGUGGACGCCGACAAGUACAACUACGGCAACUACCACGAGCAGCUGCUGCGGCUGGUGCGCGUCGGCGGCGUGCUCGCCUACGACAACACGCUCUGGGGCGGCACCGUCGCCAUGCCCGACGACACGCCGCUUACGGAGGAGGACCGCAAGAAACGGGACUCCUUCAGGGGGUUCAACGCCAUGAUCGCCGCCGACACCCGCGUCGAGCCCGUGCAGCUCCCUAUCGCCGAUGGCAUCACGCUCUGCCGCCGCGUCGCUUGA
rnacentral:rRNA from 1 species